rnacentral:rRNA from 1 species
UCAACCUGGUUGAUCCUGCCAGUAGUCAUAUGCUUGUGUUAAAGAUUAAGCCAUGCAUGCCUAAGUAUAAACUGAACUUAUGGUAAAACUGCGGACGGCUCCAUAGAUCAGUAAUCGUUCGUUUGGUGAUUUGAGUAAUUGGAUAACCCUGUUAAUUGUAGAGCUAAUACAUGCAUCAACGGUCCGAUUGGGCG